AAACACAGCAACGAGGUGAAUGACAUGGGAGACAGACCUGGGGUCUUUUAGGGACGGAAAGCCUCAGCCAAGACCCAGACUCCCAGGGUCAUCAACCUCCUCGGGUCACUAACCCUCCCCAGUGUCUGUCUACCCCUAAGUCCAGAGAACACGUCCUCUCUAGGCUCGAGCCGGAAUCAAUAUAGGCUACAAGGGCAUCAGUUCAGGCUGCGCGGAGAAGAGAAGGAAGUGCUGAUGUGGAGAGACAAGGUCUCACUUUGUUGGCCUCCCAAAGUGCUGGAAUUAUAGGCAUGAGCCACUGUGCCCUGCCCAAGAAUAAUGUUGAUGAGAGGAUCCGUGAGGUUCAUCUAUCUGUAGUGCUUCUGGCCAGAGAAAAGGCCGAAGAGAGAAGACCCUGAGGAACAUCUUUGACCUGCAUAGAAACUUAUCUGAAGAUUUUCAGAAUCUGACCCUCACCCUCAGUCUAUCCCAGUUUUAUCCUGACCUGUCCACAUCUGUUAUACUCCAAGGCUUGCUGGGCCCAACACUGGAAGCUAUUUAAUGUUUCUGUUGCGACUGGCCUUUUAAAGCCAGUGGGAUUCUCCAUGCUACACUUGAGCCUGGAGACUAGAAAACAUGACAGCCUGUUUUCAUUAAUCUGUUUUCAUUAACUGCUGUGGUAUGAAUGUUUAUGUUGUCCACAGAUUCAUAUAUUAAAAUCCUAACUCCCGGCUGGACGCAGUGGGUCACACCUGUAAUCCCAGCACUUUGGGAGGCUGAGGCAGGUGGAUCACUUGAGGUCAGGAGUUUGAAACCAGCCUGGCCAACAUGGCAAAACCCCGUCUCUACUAAAAAUGCAAAAAUUAGCCGGGCAUAGUGGCUGGGCUAAUCCCAGCUACUGGGGAGGCUGAGGCAUGAGAGUCACUUGAAUCCUGGGACUGGAGGUUGCAGUGCCCCAGGAUCAUGCCACUGCAUUCCAGCCUGGGCAACAGACAGCGAGACUCCGUCUCAAAAUAAAUACACAAAUAAAUAAAAUAAAAGCCUAACUCCCAAAGUCAUGGUAUUAGGAGAUGGGGCAUUUUGUGGGGUGAUUAAGUUUUCUGAGGGCAGAGCCUUUCUGAAUGGGAUUCAUACCCUUAUAAAUAGGCCCAAGGGAAAUCAUUCACCCCUUCUACCAUGUGAGGACACAGCAAGAAGGUGCCAUCUAUAGACCAGAAAGCAGCCCUCACCAAACACUGAAUCUGCCAGCACCUUGAUCUUAGACUUCUCAGCCUUCAGAGCUCUGAGAAAUAAAUGUCUGUUGUUUAUA